GGUUUUGAAAGUCAUCGCAUUUAAGCCUAAGGGGUAUUUUAGUGACGCCUGGAACACGUUUGACUCCCUCAUCGUAAUCGGCAGCAUUAUAGACGUGGCCCUCAGCGAAGCAGACAAAAUUGUAGCGGCAAGUAUAUAUAAGCAUAUAUACGGUGAAGUCCUUAAAGCAAAGCACUUCUAAAGAAUGUGUGCUUGUUUUUGGCCUCUCCACCUUUGGUUUUCACUGCGCUCCACAGGACGUGCUAAGGAUUGGUUGCAAUCAUCUAAAUUGUUCCCCAUCCCAUAGAUUGUCAUCUCCAGCCUGGGGCCAUCUUGGUCAGUCACACUUGGCUCUGUGACUUGCCAACAUAGUCUUCCAGAAUGAAUGAUCUGGCUGAGAAAUGAUUGAAUUCAGCCUGCGUUUGUAUUCUUUGCAAAAACGUUUUGGGUAGUCCUUUGCAUGGUCCUGCCUGCGCACGCACCAGCCUGCUUCAUCCUACUGUCCCCCUCCCAUGUCCCCACACCCCGCUCAGUUCCUGGUUUGGCAGCACUCAUGGACUUAUCUCCAUCACAUUUGGUCCUAACCUCACCAGGCUGCUAAAAUGACACACUGUGACUGCUGGGCUCCCUCUUGCUCCGUCCCUCUUUGAUGCCUGUUUGUUCCUUGAAUGAUGAAAUGACCCAGCAACAUACUGUCCCUAACCCAUGGAUGGCUGUCACUGACAUUUGUCUCUUCUCAUUAUCAUUAGUGUCUGGGAGGCAAAACACUUGUUUAGAAGCUGUAUCUGCCUUAUUAUUACUUACUUUGAAGGAGCAGGUAAAAAGUCAUUAGGGAGCUCACUCUCAGAGAUCCAGGAAUGGUCCCUGCCUU
rnacentral:lncRNA from 1 species